rnacentral:rRNA from 1 species
UACGGGGGGGGCAAGCGUUGUUCGGAAUUACUGGGCGUAAAGGGCUGGUAGGCGGCCAACUAAGUCGGAUGUGAAAUCCCCAGGCUUAACCUGGGAACUGCAUCCGAUACUGGUCGGCUUGAAUCCGGGAGAGGGAUGCAGAAUUCCAGGUGUAGCGGUGAAAUGCGUAGAUAUCGUAAGGAAGACCAGUGGCGAAGGCGGGUCUCUGGACAGUUCCUGACGCUGAGGCACGAAGGUCAGGGGAGCAAACGGG